GCCAUCAUUUAAAGAAAGCGUAAUAGCUCACUGGUCGAGUCGGCUGCGCGGAAGAUGUAACGGGGCUAAACCAUGCACCGAAGCUGCGGCAGCGGUAUGAAAAUGCUGUUGGGUAGGGGAGCGUUCUGUAAGCCGCAGAAGGUGGCCUGUGAGGGCUGCUGGAGGUAUCAGAAGUGCGAAUGCUGACAUAAGUAACGAUAAAGCGGGUGAAAAACCCGCUCGCCGGAAGACCAAGGGUUCCUGUCCAACGUUAAUCGGGGCAGGGUGAGUCGACCCCUAAGGCGAGGCCGACAGGCGUAGUCGAUGGGCAACAGGUUAAUAUUCCUGUACCCGGUGUGACUGCGAAGGGGGGACGGAGAAGGCCAGGCCAGCCGGGCGACGGUCGUCCCGGUUGAAGCGUGUAGGUGGGUGGUUUUGGAAAAUCCGGACCGCUGAUAACACUGAGGCGUGAUAACGAGGCACUACGGUGCUGAAGUGGUUGAUGCCCUGCUUCCAGGAAAAGCCUCUAAGCAUCAGGUCACAUUGGAUCGUACCCCAAACCGACACAGGUGGUCAGGUAGAGAAUACUCAGGCGCUUGAGAGAACUCGGGUGAAGGAACUAGGCAAAAUGGUGCCGUAACUUCGGGAGAAGGCACGCUGGCGCCAGGUGAAGGAACGAGCUUCCGGAGCCGAGGCCAGUCGCAGAUACCAGCUGGCUGCAACUGUUUAAUAAAAACACAGCACUGUGCAAACACGUAAGUGGACGUAUACGGUGUGACGCCUGCCCGGUGCUGGAAGGUUAAUUGAUGGGGUUAUCGCGUUGCGAGAAGCUCUUGAUCGAAGCCCCAGUAAACGGCGGC
rnacentral:rRNA from 1 species